rnacentral:lncRNA from 1 species
UUCUGACUCCAAUUCCUGCCUCGUGCCUUCCUGCAACUCCAGCUCUCAGGUGAGAUGGGUCAGCUCAGACCUGAGGAGGGAAUGACGGCUGCUUGAGAUGAUGGAGAUGUUGGAUUCAGAGCAGCUGCUUGGGAAGCAGGCAGUUGUUGUGAGCAAGAAGGCUCAGUGCUUCAAGGCCGUUACUCUCAGCCCAGGAAUAACAUUCUACGGGACACAGUUUAAUUGCUUCAAGAUUCAAUUCAUAACCCUUUUUCCUGCAUCCCGUCAUUAUUAGGCCAUUAGUUUUUUGUCCCUUUUAUUACAUUCCAACAGAUCCAGGCAAAUAUUUGCAAAUAUUUUUAGAGAUGAAGCUCCAUGUGACUCUUCACUCGAGUGCUGAGUGACUACUAUCAUAGGCUACAACCAGUAAGCAGUGAAGCCUAGACAAAGAUCUGGAUACGAAGGAUACUACCCUGAGAAAAUUUUCCUCAGCACAUAUUGACUAUAUUUUGAAGGAAAAGGGGCAUAAUAUAACCUUUGAGUCCUGAGAAGAGCAAUUGCAAUCAAUGGACUUAAUGUCUUAAAUGGCUUUUAUUAUCAUCAUUGGUGGUAUAUAGAAAGAGGUUAAUAAAGCCUCUUUCACAGCUGGAACUUAAAUUAAUCCUGUUCAGCAGCAUUCUCUCUCUGUGCUCACUAAUCAGCUCAUGCAGCUGGUGGCUGACAUUCAUCUCUUCCUAAUUAGAGGAGCACGUGCUGCAGAGCCAUCAUUCUGAAUCAGAGCAAUGGUGUUUACUCUGUUUCCCUCACCCUUCCUGCUUCAUUCACCGUUAAGCAACCCAUGACAAUGACACAGCUUGUCACACAGAGUAUGAGGAGAUGGAAUCACAACAUUUGGAGGUAGAUUGCUUGGAUUUGAGUCUAGGCCUUCAACUAGCUGUGUGACCUCGGGCACGUUACCUAAUCUCUCUGAGCCUCGGAUUCUCCAUCCGUAAACAGUCAUUCCAGUUGCUUCAUAAGUUCUGAUGAUUAAAUGAGAUAAUACAUGGAAAAGCACUACGCAAAUAUCUUUUUACAAUUUUUAAUUGUUGAAAAUUUCAAACCUAUUCUAAGGUUGAGAGAAGACAGUU